rnacentral:tRNA from 1 species
GGUCUUGUGGUCUAGUGGUAUGAUUCUUGCUUAGGGUGACACCCUAAUCCUUACAUUGCAAGAGGCCCCGUGUUCGAUCCACGGCAAGACCC